rnacentral:rRNA from 1 species
GAUCAUGGCUCAGGACGAACGCUGGCGGCGUGCUUAACACAUGCAAGUCGAACGAGAGGACAAGAGAAGCUUGCUUCUUUUGAAAUCGAGUGGCAAACGGGUGAGUAACACGUAAACAACCUGCCUUCAGGAUGGGGGACAACAGACGGAACGACUGCUAAUACCGAAUACGCUUGGGAGACCGCAUGAUCUUCCAAGGAAGGUGGCCUCUACCUGGUAAGCUAUCGCCUGAAGAGGGUUUGCG